CCUGCCCGGUGCUGGAAGGUUAAGGGGAUCUGUUAGAGCAAUCGAAGCAGUGAACUUAAGCCCCAGUAAACGGCGGCCGUAACUAUAACGGUCCUAAGGUAGCGAAAUUCCUUGUCGGGUAAGUUCCGACCCGCACGAAAGGCGUAACGAUUUGGGCACUGUCUCAACAACAGACUCGGUGAAAUUGUAAUUCCGGUGAAGAUGCCGGAUACCUGCGACAGGACGGAAAGACCCCAUGGAGCUUUACUGUAGCUUGACAUUGGGUCUUGGUACUACAUGUACAGGAUAGGUGGGAGGCUUUGAAACCAGGACGCCAGUUUUGGCGGAGCCAUCCUUGGGAUACCACCCUUGUAGUACUGGGACUCUAACCAUAGGCCAUGAAUCUGGUCUUGGGACACUGUCAGGUGGGCAGUUUGACUGGGGCGGUCGCCUCCCAAAAGGUAACGGAGGCGCUCAAAGGUUCUCUCAGUACGGUCGGAAAUCGUACGUAGAGUGUAAAGGCAAAAGAGAGCUUGAUUGCAAGACAUACAGGUCGAGCAAGGAUGAAAAUCGGACUUAGUGAUCCGGUGGUUCUGCGUGGAAGGGCCAUCGCUCAACGGAUAAAAGCUACCCUGGGGAUAACAGGCUUAUCUCCCCCAAGAGUCCACAUCGACGGGGAGGUUUGGCACCUCGAUGUCGGCUCAUCACAUCCUGGGGCUGUAGUAGGUCCCAAGGGUUGGGCUGUUCGCCCAUUAAAGUGGUACGCGAGCUGGGUUCAGAACGUCGUGAGACAGUUCGGUCCCUAUCCGUCGCAGGCGUAGGAAAUUUGAGAAGACCUGUCCUUAGUACGAGAGGACCGGGAUGGACG
rnacentral:rRNA from 1 species